rnacentral:rRNA from 1 species
GACGUAGGGGGCGAGCGUUGUCCGGAUUCAUUGGGCGUAAAGCGCGCGCAGGCGGCUUGGUUAGUCGGAUGUGAAAAUCCGGGGCUCAACCCCGGACCUGCAUCCGAUACUGCCAGGCUAGAGGCAGGUAGGGGAGAUCGGAAUUCCUGGUGUAGCGGUGAAAUGACGCAGAUAUCAGGAGGAACACCGGUGGCGAAGGCGGGUCUCUGGGCCGAUACUGACGCUGGAGGAGCGAAAGCGGUGGGAGAACAGG